ACUCUUGAGGACAUUUCUAUGACGUCAGAAAGCACGGUCCAACAAGCAACCCAGAGCUAAACAGUCAGACUGAAUCAUCACCUGUAACCUGACGGGGGCGUCUCUACUCAGCGUAAGCGUCUGACCGUCCGUCGGAAAUGAUCGAUCCGUGACACGGACCAAAAACGAAAUAUCUAAUAAUAAAUUAGAUGGCGUCAAAAAGCUACGCAUCUGACGCAGAAUAAGAAAGAGGAAGAUGAAGAAAAACAAGCGCAAAGAAGGAUUUCCCUGGGGGCAGGUGAAAAGGGGGGGAAUUCUUUGCCUAACCUGCCGAGGACCUCGCCAUCCCACCAGCCGGCUCUAUAGCAGCAUAAGCAGAGAUCCCAGCCCUGGCUGCUGGCCAGACGCCCGCAAGCUGGUAUGUGUAUGUGACAGCUCUGUCCCCGGGAUCGCUGCCGUGCCUCGCCGGCCUUUUAUGACAGCUGGCCGGAUUAAUGUGGACGGGGUCGGGAUGAGUAUGACAGCCAAAUGACCGUGGAGGGGAGUGAGAGAGGGCUGCUUCCCUCUGUCUUUAUAUGGCUGUUUUAUAGCCUGUAAUUAAGAUGUAUGAAGUACAGACACACACGCAGGAAAAAAAUACACUUGGACGUUGCUUCUGACUAAAUCUACAGAAAACACAAUGAAAAAUACACCGCGCGAUCGGUACUAUAAAUGAUACGUACAUGACUUGAUUAAUAUUACGAACCAUUAUUGAAACUUGUAGGAUAAAUUAGUUUAUUUCUGGAAUCAUCAUUGCAGAUAAUUUUGAAAAUCGAUUUCUAAAAUGUGCAGAAUUUGAUAUAACUGUUAGUCUCAGCCAAGUUUACCACCGUACUUAUUGCAGUGCAACCAAAUAACCUACUAAUGUGACAAGCAGCUAGGGGAUUCGAAUAAACUGUAGUUAUAUUAUUUAAUUCGUCUUGCAUUUUGCGGGAAUACAAUGUAGAAAGGUUUUAGUAGCCUAGAUUUAACCGAUUUCUAAGCGUUUCGAAGAAAUGUUGAUUCGGGAUAGACUGACAUUUUUAUAUGCAUCUAUUUAUUCGGAAAUUAACUGGGAUAAAAUAAAAGUUAAGUAACAGGGUAAAGGCGGGCACAAACAUACAGCUCACAUUUUAUACUUGCUCUUUGUGACCCUGCCCUCAUUAACGGUUUCAUUUGAUUCUCUCUUUGGGAUUUACCCCCCCGCCAAAGCUUCACCCACCGGAUGGUGCUAGCUGAGGACACCCUCCCUAAGGGACAGUGUUCAGGGCUUAAUUAGGAUGUUGAGGAAAAGAUUCAAAGUGCUUCGGGAUGGCAGGGGGAGAUCCGCUGAAGAUCUCUGGGGGAUCGUCUUACCCGCUUCAAGGUAAAUUGCCGAAAGCAGCGUGACGUUGGAAAAGCGGGGGCUUCUCCAUGUGGGGGCAUUUAAAACUACACCAUCCAGCCACGUUCUUUCUCCAUGUGUUUAAAUAACACUUCAGGCUGCCUCGCUAACACGCGAGAAUUAAACGGAGUCAGACUGAGAUCGGAGGAUCCAUGAACAUCUAACGAAAGACUAAAUGAAAACACACGUGGGAUAAAUACCGACAGAGAGGGGGAAAAGACAGUAAACAAGCAAACAGAAAACCAAAAUUUUAAAUAAAUGGCACAGGUGGGGCUUUAAACACAUGCGGCCAGAUCAGUGCUGGCCCCUAACCCUCUCCGUGCUCUCCAUAAUCGGCGUACUGUCAUUAAUAUAAUUUAACGGCACGGCGCAGCCCUGCCUCCAGCCCACUAGCCCUCCUCCGGAAAGGUCAUCAUCUCUACCACGAGGCCCUUAAAAGCAGCAGCUGGGCCGGCUUGGGUUUCUGAAUCACCUGCACCAAGGAGAACUACAGGAACCGCCGUGUCUCCGUCAAGCCGGCAAUUACUCAAGACGUCCAUCCGUAACGCCUGCGAUGUUAAUUACCGCGGUGGCAGGCGCCCAUUCAUCAGCCGGCCUCUUAAUGGCCUAAUGAUCAUUUGAACAUCGCUUAAAUAUUUUCACACUAAUCUCUCCCUCACUAUCUUAAUCCUAUCGCAGUUGGACAGACUUGUUUUAUAUUUAGUACGGAUACUUAGUACGAACCCUUGUAUAGGCCUACAAAGAAUACAGAAAAGCUAUCAGUACAUACUCAGUUACACAUCUAAUAUACUAAUUACACCUAAUAGUAAUAAUACGUAAGGAGACCGGGAGUUGAUCUCCGCCCACGUCAUACAUACCGGGUUAUAAGCAAGACGCGGCCGUGCAUUAACUCGCCGUUCAGCAUUUUCGGGGUAACGGAAACCAGAAAACCUUUUUUUUGUUACUUUUUUACAGCAAUAAAGAUUUCUUAUCAUAAAUUUAACCAGA